GACGAACGCUGGCGGCGUGCUUAACACAUGCAAGUCGAACGCUGAAGCUUGGUGCUUGCACUGGGUGGAUGAGUGGCGAACGGGUGAGUAAUACGUGAGUAACCUGCCCUUGACUCUGGGAUAAGCCUGGGAAACUGGGUCUAAUACUGGAUACGACAUGUCACCGCAUGGUGGCGUGUGGAAAGGGUUUUACUGGUUUUGGAUGGGCUCACGGCCUAUCAGCUUGUUGGUGGGGUAAUGGCUCACCAAGGCGACGACGGGUAGCCGGCCUGAGAGGGUGACCGGCCACACUGGGACUGAGACACGGCCCAGACUCCUACGGGAGGCAGCAGUGGGGAAUAUUGCACAAUGGGCGAAAGCCUGAUGCAGCGACGCCGCGUGAGGGAUGACGGCCUUCGGGUUGUAAACCUCUUUCAGCACGGAAGAAGCGAAAGUCACGGUACGUGCAGAAGAAGCGCCGGCUAACUACGUG
rnacentral:rRNA from 1 species